CCAACGCGUUGGGAGCUCUCCCAUAUGGUCGACCUGCAGGCGGCCGCGAAUUCACUAGUGAUUCGUAUUACCGCGGCUGCUGGCACAGAGUUAGCCGGUGCUUAUUCUGUCGGUAACGUCAAAACAGCAAAGUAUUAAUUUACUGCCCUUCCUCCCAACUUAAAGUGCUUUACAAUCCGAAGACCUUCUUCACACACGCGGCAUGGCUGGAUCAGGCUUUCGCCCAUUGUCCAAUAUUCCCCACUGCUGCCUCCCGUAGGAGUCUGGACCGUGUCUCAGUUCCAGUGUGACUGAUCAUCCUCUCAGACCAGUUACGGAUCGUCGCCUUGGUGAGCCAUUACCCCACCAACUAGCUAAUCCGACCUAGGCUCAUCUGAUAGCGCAAGGCCCGAAGGUCCCUUGCUUUCUCCCGUAGGACGUAUGCGGUAUUAGCGUCCGUUUCCGAACGUUAUCCCCCACUACCAGGCAGAUUCCUAGGCAUUACUCACCCGUCCGCCGCUCUCAAGAGAAGCAAGCUUCUCUCUACCGCUCGACUUGCAUGUGUUAGGCCUGCCGCCAGCGUUCAAUCUGAGCCAUGAUCAAACUCUAAUCGAAUUCCCGCGGCCGCCAUGGCGGCCGGGAGCAUGCGACGU
rnacentral:rRNA from 1 species